rnacentral:rRNA from 1 species
UACGAAGGGGGCUAGCGUUGCUCGGAAUCACUGGGCUUAAAGCGCGUGUAGGUGGCGGCCUAAGUACCUUGUGAAAUCCUGCGGCUCAACCGCAGAACUGCUUGGUAUACUGGGUCGCUUGAGCCAUCCAGGGGCAACUGGAACAAGCGGUGGAGCGGUGAAAUGCGUAGAUAUCGCUUGGAACGCCAAAGGUGAAAACAGGUUGCUGGGGAUGAGCUGACACUGAGACGCGAAAGCCAGGGGAGCGAACGGG